CCAGGCGGUAAGAAGCAGCCUCCUGUGUUAAAAGUAUUUGAAGGUGAUUCGAACAAAGAGUGAGAGAAGACUGGUGGAGAAGGAAGAGACCAGACAAUAAGAGCCUUAAGGUGUUGGCACUUAAUUUUAGGGGCAAAGAGAAGUCAUGACACAUUUUAAUGAUCAUGUUUGCAGUUUAGUUCAACAGGGGGUGGGGUGGGGACUGGAGAGAAUUUAAGCAAGAGAUCUUGAUCUGUGAAUGACAAUAGGGAUGGAUAAAAGUCAGAUGGGAUGAUAUUUAAAUGGAGAAUUAUCAGCAAUUGCAGAUAGAGCGGAAAACCCAACAAAACUUUUCUUUCCCCAUUUCUCCUUCCAGCUGGCGCCCCAAAUGCCGUCCCAUUUCCAGUUCCUUUCUUUCACUGCAUUCCACGAUGCUCCACCAAUGCUCAGCUCGGUCAUUUGGUUUUCUGGUGCACUCCUCUUAGAAGUUUCCAGUGGCCUGGAAACUACAGUCCUACGGGGACCGGAGGGCUGUGGGCACCAGUAGUUUGCAUACAGCCCUGCCAGCAGCACGAAUAAAUGACCUGCCCAAUACCCCAAAGCUGGUGUGUUACAAAGUGCAUAUUUCAAAUCCAGCUUUAGGGAUUUUUCAAUAACACUUCAUUGCUGCUUCCCGAUGUUAAACAAGAGAAAGUUAAAACAAAAAAAAAGACAGCAUUACCCAAAAUACAGUGUCCUGAGCAUAGCAACGGAAACAACCAGAGACCCCAGACAGUCUGUCAGGUCUUGGUCUAGGGGUACUAGUGCUCCAAGUCCGAGGUCAGUCCCAGAGAAUGUGAAGUGCGCAUGUGCUAAAGGUCCUAGGCUCGCCCCAUCACAGGGGCGGAGGAAGGACAGUGCGCAUGUGUUGAAGGUCUGAGGUCCGCCCCGGAAGAGGUGGGGAAGGGGCCUAAAAGCAGAGGUUUGGUGCCAUCUGUUAGCCUAAACAGCCCACGUUCUGUUAGCGGAACCCAUGCAAUGGACGAUCCCUUCAUUACACCUAGGACCGCUGCCUUACGGCUCCUCCGUAAGCACUACAUCUUUGGAUUCCCCGAGGGCCAAAGAGAACACGGGACCGGAAGCGCUGACUCCUCCCGUCGUAUUUCCAGGGGCAGAGGAAGAUGGCGAAACCCAUUGGCUAGUGGGGAUCAGAAGAGGGCGGUUCACUCGGCCUGCGCGUGGGGCACUAUGGGUAUUGUAGUUCAGGGCUCCGCGGUCCAGCUUGCAGCGAGGAAUCUUGGAAGCCAGUGGGUCCAAGCUGGCCAGGGAAGCGCCUUGCACGGGGGCAUUAGGUGUGAAGUAGCUGCAGGGGUGUGUCUUCGUUCUGCUCUUUCUCUUUCGGGUGAGGCCUCACUCUGUCUCGCCUUCAGGGGCCUUCACUUCAUCCCAUACUUGAGGCUACUUUAUAAGCCCCAGUCACCUACAGAUUAUCCCUUACGAUUCCAAGCUGGUCUUGAGUUCCUCUUCUCGUCUAUCUCCCGCACAUCCAGGCCCUGGAAUUCUUCUCUGUCCUUUCUCCCAAUGGGACUCAGCAUGAAGAAGUGAAAUUUCAUCUUCAGUUAUACCUAAAGAAAUUCAUAUCCAAGUCCCUCCAUAAUUUGAACCCCAGCCACCUCUCUAAUCUCAUCGCCUUACGCUUGUCCUUAUGGUCC
ensembl:lncRNA